UAAAAUUAUCAGUUCCCUUUCUCGAGGCUCGAGUAAGGUCUAUACAUGGUGAAAAGGGGAGUGAAGCUGCAUGCCAUGUGUUUGGCCACACCCAUUUUGGCUGGGAUGCUAUUCAUGAUAAUAUCAGAUAGAAGGCCGUUUUACUGGUCAGAUUACUAUUCUGUUAAUUCAAGGAACCCAGAUAACCUGGAACUUGCCCCUUGGAUUGCCCAGUUUUACAGAAAACGAGUGUUAUAACUCAUAAAUUGUUUGUAAUGGACUAGUGGUCAUCCGACAUGUCAAAUAUUGAUUAGAGAAGCGGCAUUUGUCGAUGGAAUGGAAGAAAAGAUAGAUACACUAGAGGAAAAAUCGUCAUGUGCUUCCCAUCAAGUGCGGCUCAUUUAGUAAAUUGGCAGCACUUGAGAUCAAUAUAUAAAAAAAGAAAAAUACAAUUUCACAAGUGCGGACUCAUUUUUUAAAAUUGGCAGCACUUGAGUUCAAGUGCGGGCUCGUUACAAAUUAGCAGCACAAAAUAUUUCCUAAACGAAAGGUUUCCAUUUUUUUCGUUUCCCGCUUUCCUCCUUCCUCCUUCCCCUUCUCGUUCUCUGUUGUUGUUCACCCACCGCCGAACACACCCACCGCUGGUGGCCCCCCACCGACGAAAGCUUCCUCUUCCAGCCGCGUCGACGUUGUUGUUGUCCCACCGCCAAAUUCUUCCUCUUCCUGCCGCGUCGCCUCUGUUGUUCCCCACCGCCGAACUAUUACUCUUCCCUCCGCCGCCGCAGCACACAAGCGUCGCUCCUCCUUAUAGCUUAUAGGACUCGGACAUGUUGCAGGUCUGAACUUUGUAGCUUCCUGCUCGGACCAGCAGGUUCUGGUGAUUUAGUCUCCUGGAGUUCUACAGAUGCAGUGUUGCAGCAGCUGGUCUGGGUGCUCAGAUCCGAAGUGUGCUUUGUUCUGGUCAGCAGUAGAAGGUUGUUGGGUGCUGGUUAUGGUUGGUUGUCUUAAACUCAUGUUGCCAGUUUGCAAUGUUACCAGAAAAGGGUCUUAAAGCUAGAUGUCGCAAACACAGUGCUUGAAAAUGAGAUUUCAGUUGAUGCGCUUUCCAUUUUAUUUGAUUCUUUUGUCCUGAUGAUCGAUUUUCAUGUUUAUCUGUACCAAUUAUAACUUUUAACCUAAUUUGGUCGUUUAACUUUCCAGAUUUCAUGCUUGAUUUUAGUUUUAAUUACUAAUUUCUGAAGUUCAGCUGCUCAACUCUCAAUCUCAAUUUCUCUGAUUUUGAUUCUAAUUUUAAUUAGUGAUUUUGAUUUUGUGGGUUUUGAAUUAAAUGGUUAAUUUACGGUUGAUGUUGGUGAAUAUAUAGUAAAUUCAGGUGUAAUUUAGGUCUCUAUAUAUUGUUCAUUUUAAAUAUAUAGCAAGGGUUCUCUGUAAUCUGUUCAUUGACUUCAUUCUUAUGACAAUAUUUAACUAAUAUAAUAUUUCUUAUUAUUGAGUAUUGACAUAUUGUAACCCGUUAUUUAUUUAACUUUUCUUCAUAAAAAUGACAGGUUUGUGACACACUGGAGGAUAAUGCUUUAAUGUCUGGGAGCAUGGGUGACAGAGAACCUUAGUUAGUUGCCUCAAGACUCCGAGAUCAUAUCCUUACUCCUAAAGAACGAAGAGAUCCUCUUCUAUGGAAGAUGGUUGAAGAUUUGGUGGAAUCAGACUCUCGUUUGGACCGCUAUCCAAAGCUUGUGAAGGGUGAAUCAAAGGUGGUGUGGGAAUGGCAAGGUUGUAGGCUCCAGGGGCUGGUGACAUCUCUCGUUAUCGAGCAUCAAUGGGUACUCAGUCUCCCAAGGUUGAGAUAAUUGAUGGUAUUUAAUAAUCCGAGGGAGCGGCCUUCACCUUUGAGGAGAUAGAUGAAGUUCGAGAAAUGUUGGCAAAAUUCAUUACCAGUGAUCGUCUUUGAUAUUUUGUUGUAAUGAAUCUUAAAUUAUGGAUGCUAGCUAGUUUUUCAUAUAAUUGUAAUGUAAUUGACUUUUAUAUUUACAAUUAUAUACUAUUUAAUUUAAUUAUCUAUAUAAUUGGAUACUUUUUAUAUGACGUA